rnacentral:rRNA from 1 species
CGGAUCUCUUGGCUCUCGCAUCGAUGAAGAACGCAGCGAAAUGCGAUAAGUAAUGUGAAUUGCAGAAUUCAGUGAAUCAUCGAAUCUUUGAACGCACCUUGCGCCCUUUGGUAUUCCGAAGGGCAUGCCUGUUUGAGUGUCAUGA